rnacentral:rRNA from 1 species
ACGGUGGCUAAUACCGGAUGUGCCGGAAGGUGAAAGGCUUGCUGCCUGAAGAUGAGCUCGCGUCCGAUUAGCUAGUAGGUGGGGUAAGAGCCUACCUAGGCGACGAUCGGUAGCUGGUCUGAGAGGAUGACCAGCCACACUGGGACUGAAACACGGCCCAAACUCCUACGGGAGGCAGCAGUGGGGAAUUUUCCGCAAUGGGCGAAAGCCUGACGGAGCAAUACCGCGUGAGGGAGGAAGGCUCUUGGGUUGUAAACCUCUUUUCUCAGGGAAAAACACAAUGACGGUACCUGAGGAAUCAGCAUCGGCUAACUCCGUGCCAGCAGCCGCGGUAAUACGGAGGAUGCAAGCGUUAUCCGGAAUGAUUGGGCGUAAAGCGUCCGCAGGUGGCUGUGUAAGUCUGCUGUCAAAAAGCAAAGCUCAACUUUGUAAAGGCAGUGGAAACUACACGGCUAGAGUGCGUUCGGGGCAAAGGGAAUUCCUGGUGUAGCGGUGAAAUGCGUAAAGAUCAGGAAAAAACACCGGUGGCGAAGGCGCUCUGCUAGGCCGCAACUGACACUGAGGGACAAAAAGCUAGGGGGAGCGAAAGG